rnacentral:rRNA from 1 species
AGUGAACGCUGGCGGUAGGCCUAACACAUGCAAGUCGAACGGCAGCACAGUAACAGCUUGCUCUUACGGGUGGCGAGUGGCGGACGGGUGAGGAAUACAUCGGAAUCUACUUUUUCGUGGGGGUUAACGUAGGGAAACUUACGCUAAUACCGCAUACGACCUACGGGUGAAAGCAGGGGAUCUUCGGACCUUGCGCGAAUGAAUGAGCCGAUGUCGGAUUAGCUAGUUGGCGGGGUAAAGGCACACCAAGGCGACGAUCCGUAGCUGGUAUGAGAGGACGGUUAGCCAGACUGGAAGUGAGACAGGGUCCAGACUCCUACAGGAGGAAGCAGUGGGGAAUAUUGGAGAAGGGGGGCAAGCCUGAUACAGCCAUACCGAGUGGGUGAAGAAGGCCUUCGGGUUGUAAAGCCCUUUUGUUGGGAGAGAAAAGCAGCAGGUUAAUACCCCGCUGUUCUGACGGUACCCAAAGAAUAAGCACCGGCUAACUUCGUG